rnacentral:rRNA from 1 species
GAUGAACGCUGGCGGCGUGCCUAAUACAUGCAAGUAGAACGCUGAAGCUUGGUGCUUGCACCGAGCGGAUGAGUUGCGAACGGGUGAGUAACGCGUAGGUAACCUGCCUCUUAGCGGGGGAUAACUAUUGGAAACGAUAGCUAAUACCGCAUAAAAGUCGAUAUCGCAUGAUAUUGAUUUGAAAGGUGCAAAUGCAUCACUAAGAGGUGGACCUGCGUUGCAUUAGCUAGUUGGUGAGGUAACGGCUCACCAAGGCGACGAUACAUAGCCGACCUGAGAGGGUGAUCGGCCACACUGGGACUGGGACACGGCCCAGACUCCUACGGGAGGCAGCAGUAGGGAAUCUUCGGCAAUGGGGGCAACCCUGACCGAGCAACGCCGCGUGAGUGAAGAAGGUUUUCGGAUCGUAAAGCUCUGUUGUAAGAGAAGAACGAGUGUGAGAGUGGAAAGUUCACACUGUGACGGUAACUUACCAGAAAGGGACGGCUAACUACGUG